CCUGUACUUAUAUUACAUCUUCCUUGCCUUGUGUGGAGACUAACCCAUGAGCUAUUUAGCUACAUUUACAACAUUAUGAUUAUGCAAGAGUAGAGUUCAACUUGUGGAGAAGGAAACAGAAUCCUAGUGUCAAUGAACCUGGCUUAACCUCAGGAUCAAAAGGGUUCUCCUUUCUUACACUCCAGUAAAUGCUCAAAAUUAUACCAUGCUUAAGUUUGCUUUUAUUUUCACAUUUUUUUGCUUUCCUUUUUUGGCUAUACCCACAGUAUGGAGAAGAUCCCAGAUCAGGGAUCGAACCUGCGACCCAAGCCACUGCAGCGACAACACUGGAUUCUUAAAUCAAUGAAUCACAAGAGAACUCCUAUUUUCACAUUUUUUUAACCAUACAAAACAAUUAUUUGAUUAUCUACCAUCCUAGUCAAUAUGCGUAUCAAUUUGAUUUUUUUAAAAAUGAAAACCACCUUCAUUCAAACUUAAUACUAUCCUAUGUCCAUUCCCUUCUAAUAAGAGAAACGUACAUUAUGGCAAACACACAAGGGAAUAGUUAUUGAGCUAAACAAUUCAGCCAAUAAAGAGUACCCAAGAGGCCCAAACACUCCAAGGUGUAUGUCCAAGGAGAGAGAUGUCCAAGGGGAGAGUGAAGAGAAGAUACACUUAGCAUGGCAUUUUUUCUUGCUUUCUUUUUUUUUUUUUUUUCUUCCUGGUGAGCAGGCUGGCUUGUGAUUUAACUUCUUGGCUACCUAGUUUUUGUUCCUGCUUAUUUGCUUUAAAAAACAACAUACAGACAAAAAUAAAAAUCACACAUAGUCUUCAGUUACGUAUUUGGUGAUCUAACAAAACAAAAAUUGGUCAUAGUACCUAGCAGAGAGAAAAUUACUUGUCAGGGGAUAAAAUAAUGUCUGAAACAGACAAAAGUUACAGGAGAGGCAAUGCGGCAGGGUAGAAGAACAAUGGUUUGGGGGUAAGAAAAAGCUGAGUUUGAAUCCUAGAUAAAUGACUAUCCUUGCAGCCUUAGGAGGUUAACUGAAGCUCUCUGAACCUCUGAUUUAAAAUCUACAAACAGGACUAACACACCUCUUUUGCAGGGGUACUAUGAAGACAAAACAGGAUGAUAUGUAUAAUGCAAACAGGAUAGGCCCUUGCGCUUGCAAACCAGUGCUAACACAUCAGAUCUUACAUGCCUAGGAGCGAGUGUCUCUCAAAUUAGCUAUAAUAUAUGAAGACUGAGCAUCAAGCUAUAUUCUUUCAGGUCCUAGGAGGAAAGAGGAGAGUGGAGUGGGCAAGCAGGCAUCAUUAAGAAUCUAAUCAUAGGAGUUCCCGUCAUGGCGCAGUGGUUAACGAAUCCGACUAGGAACCAAACCAUUGCGGGUCUGACCCCUGCCCUUGCUCAGUGGGUUAAGGAUCCAGCGUUGCCGUGAGCUGUGGUGUAGGUCGCAGACAUGGCUCGGAUCCGACCCCUAGCAACCUCCAUAUGCUGCAGAAACUCUCUGGAAGAUUUUAAGGACUUUCCUUUGAUUGUAAUUCUGAACUAGACCUUAGUAGAUACAACAUUUCGACAAACAACAUUUACCUUAUCGUAGACAAUUAAAUCAUUCCAAAAGACACCACUUUACUAGCAAAAAGGGAAAAAAAAAAAUCCUAACUCACAAUUUAACCUAACGUAUGGUUUAAAAGAGAGAGAAAGGCUUUGUAUGAAUUACUCUAUAAACUGAUCACGGAAGUAUGAACUCUAGAACUCUGGACAAUGAACACUCUCAUAUAUUGUACAUAUGCAAGAAUCAGGCUCAGAAAUGUGGUGUCACUAAAACUUCUCCAAAACCAUAGCAAUAUCUCAAGCUCCACCUCUCACAGUUAUAUAGAUUUUAGAUCUGAAAUCUAAAGUCUCUUCUUUAAUUUGCUUGCACUUGCUUAAUCCAUGCUACAUCAGUGAUGUAAACCUAAAACGGUUUCAAACCAAAAUGAUAUUACUAGACUCCUACAUGCUCACAAAAAUAGCUUCUAUUUGAAAGUGAGUGGUGAGGUGUUAGGAUCUGGACCACCAUCUAAAGGCAUGCAAUUCUCCAUAUUUAAUUACAUUACUGUGUAGUAUUAUUAGUAAGCCUUUUCUUUCAUUAUUUCUUGGCCUUCCACUGGUUCUCCAUAAGCUCAUGAUACAUCUACUUUGCAUUUCUACUCACUGUCAGUAUUCUGCCAUGUAACAAUGUUCCUUUCAUCAGUCAAGGCAGAAGAAAAUUGGUAAGUCCUUAAAAUGUUCUCUAUUUUCAUCAUCAAAAGAAGAGAGAAAGAAAAGAAAAUCAGCCCUUGUGUUCAUGAAGGUGAUACUUUCAACUAUUUCAGAAACUCACUUCCACAUAUACUUUCUGUGAACUUCCUCUGUAGGAAGCAACUGACAAGACUCUGUCCUGCAGGAAGGCUCAGCCAGUUUUAGUGCAGGAGGUGAGGGUGGCCACUGUACCCCAGAGCAAGUCAGAAUGAGGUAGGUGUAAAAGAGGCAUCAAAAUUACAUUUACUGGGAAUCAAGUAAAUUCAUGGCAGGUUGUCCACUUCCAGGGCUGUACGUUCUGUUUUGCAGCCCACGAGAAAGUCCAGUGGACAGAAGUAGUUUUAAAAUACUCAUCCCUUUUGGCCAAAUUUAUCUUAAAUCUCAUUUCUCUUAACUCAUGGUUAUUUCCUGAGGAAAAGCUCUUAGGUGCAUCUCAAGAAUUUAUUCUCCAGGUUUUCAUCACUGCGCCAGAACUUUUUUUUUUCCUAUGGUGCAGAAACCAGAAAGCUGCUAGAUUUUUACCCUGCUGCUCAAUUUUCACCUUGAUUAUAAUUCCACAUCGCUUCCAUAUAGCUGGUUAACUGCCUAACCAUCCAUAAGAGUGAUUACAGAUUACGGAACUAUAACAAUUAGUUGAUUUGACAGGUUUGAGGAAAAUGUCAUGCUUCUGUGUUCAGCUUCCUAAGGUGGAAAAGUCUCUUGGUAUUCGAUUCAGGUUCCUAGCUGAAGGCUGGGCCACAUCUCAGCCGUCUCAGGCCGACCUCUGAAGAAACUACUGUUCCCUCCUGGCACAGAAAGAUGAACACAACCUCUGCAAAGUGUGACUUCCAUUACUGGUAGCAUUUCAUACACACUCAUCAUGUUUGUCUACGUGCUUAUGGAAAGUCUUUUCUACAGAACAUUUUUAGCAAAGCAAUAUCACUAUUCUCAGAAAGAAUUUUAUAAAAAGGAAAUGAUUCUGGUCUUCGUGAGGAGGCGUAGGCUCAAAUUCCACUUCUGACACAUACUGUUCAAAAAAAAAAAGGAAUCAUUUUACCGCUGAUGCUGGGAAAAUCAUACACACAUACAAAAGUGAAUCCUCUUAUCUAAGAAGCAGGCUAAAGACUAAUCAAUUAUGAUAAUGGCAAUGGGCUACAUAAACCCCAUAGGAAUUUUUCACAAGGAAACUAAACUCCACACUUUUUUGUGAGAUUGGCAGAGUUUAAGAGAGAGACGUAGAUAACAUGCGGUAGAGGGAGGCUACAGUCAUGCCCCUGAAUUAUUAGGCCUACAAACAUGAGCCUUUUCUGAGAAUACCAGGAACUUACUGAAAAGCUUUUGUGAUAGUAUUUACAGCACCUUAAGAUUACAAGGAAACAAAAACGUCAAAUGUUCAUUGUUUCAAUGCACAAUAGUGAAAAAAUAGAUUUUCAUUAAUGAAUCCUCUACCCGAAUCCAAUGUUUGAUUCUGUGUUUAAAAAAAUGAAAGCCAAAGCCAAUAUAAGUGUUACCAAGAUAAACAUUUUUAAGAAGAAGCCCCAUAAAGAACAUACAUAAAUGGGUCUCUAACUGGUACCUACAUAAUGUACCCACUGCUUGACUUCUUCAGAUACUUACACUCCCCAGCACUCGGCUGUAAUGAUGUAGAAAAGACUGAAGAAAGUGUGCAAACACUACCUACAUAGAAACAUACCCUUUGUUUUUAACUUAGCAGCUAGUUCUAUGCAAAAGCAUGAAGUAUUAGAACUAUUACCUAGUUCUACGGUAAUAACACUCAUGGGGUAUAUAUUUACAGAGUCCUGAACAUCAAUAUUAGACUUUCACAGAAUUCAACUGCAGCAUUUUUUAAAGGUUCCUAUACAAGACGGCUGACCUAUCAGUAGUCAGUUCAUGCUGCUAAUAAGUCUGGUCAGGGGUUGUGUGGAGGUGGUCCUGUUUAUUCCCUUCCACAUUCCUCUGCGUAGCCUCCAGGUAGGGUAUGCCUUUGGUUCUCAGCCUUCUGGGAGACUCCCCCACCCCCUUCUCCAGACCAUGAGAGAACUUGUGUGGCCUUGAGCUCCUCUAAAGAGCUGUUACUCACCCCUCAUAGCCUGUGGCUGUGUGCUGUGCUUCUCUCUCUCAAGGCCUUUCUGCUCAUGGCAAUGGCUUUGGCUGAUUUAUGAGCAUCAGGUCUGAGGUCAUUUUCUCUGCAUUUUAUGGAAACGCAGCAAAUGUACUAGCAACCUAUGCAGGUAAAAUCAGCAUCGUCGGCAUGUCUGGUCAUGGUUUCAGCAUCAUCAGUAGGAGAAUUUGGUGACUCCAAAGACCAUUCACUCCAGUCCAUUCUCUCAGCAGAGCAAAUCUUUUCCUGGAAAUCACAGUCUGAAUUUACUGGUUCCUAGAGAGACAGCCCACUUCGACACCUUAGAGGACAGAAGGACUGAGUGGGGUCCUGCUGUCUUACCAGUCAUUUAGCUCAGCAUUGGAGGAUAGAGAAAUAAAAUACCUAACCUUUUAUCCAAAGACUAUUUCCUCAGAAGUCAUACUGCAUCACUGCCAGAGAUGCAUAUAGAAUUUUGGAGGAAAAAAAACUAGAAAACAACAGGAGACUAAGUGAUCAGACAGCGAAGGAGGGCACCAAGAGGAAGUGGCUGACUCAGGUACACUACCGGUGUAACUGAAUUUAUUAUAAAGUGCUUCACAAUGCUGAUGAAACAAUUAACCAAGUCCUUGGAAAACAUGAGAUUCCUAAAAAGAUAAAGUCAUUACAUUUUACUUUUAUUUUCUUUAGAACUAUCUUACAAAUUAAUAUGCCUUUGUUGUUUUAAAGUAUCUUUUAAAAAAGAAUCAUGAAAAAAAUUCAUUUCAUACAACAUCACUUCUCUACAACCUGACCCGUGGAGAAUGGGCAGAUAAAUUAUGAGGUCUAUCCUUAA
ensembl:lncRNA